AUGUCGCAGCUUGGGAGCAGUUCAGUGUGUAUUUUUAGAAGAAAAUCAACAACGGCGGCUGCACUGGAGCAGCACGACUACUAUUGCUGGCCGCCCCCAUCUCCGACCGGAUCCAGGCCGGCUCCCCUGAUAGCCACCAUGGCUUGUGUCGUUGGUGCUAGUGUGGAUGUGCGACAUGUUCAUGUCCCCAGUCUAUGCCAAGUUCAGGUAUGUUCCUGGCUGCUGGUGUAUAUUCCGCUGAUGUGUGACAAGUUCAUAGUGUGCCUUCUUUUUAGUUCAGUGAGUUCAGUUCAUGUCUUAUUUUUCUUUGUCAGAAUGCACGUCGGUCUCGUUGUGGAUGCUUCUGUAGUUCGGCAGUCCAACUAA
rnacentral:rRNA from 1 species